GGAUCAUUACGAAAAGGAGUAUUCGUACUCUUAAACCCUUUGUGAACCUUACCUAUCGUCAGUUGCUUCGGCGGGAGGCCCCUGGGAGGGGCCCCGGGGCCCGGCCUGAGCCGGGCUCCCGCCGGAGGAGCGCAAACCAAACUCUUGCUGUACCUCAGUGGAACAUCCGAGUCAAAACAAAUAAACAAGUUAAAACUUUCAACAACGGAUCUCUUGGUUCUGGCAUCGAUGAAGAACGCAGCGAAAUGCGAUAAGUAAUGUGAAUUGCAGAAUUCAGUGAAUCAUCGAAUCUUUGAACGCACAUUGCGCCCGCCAGUAUUCUGGCGGGCAUGCCUGUUCGAGCGUCAUUUCAACCACUCAGGCCCUGGUGCCUGGCGUCGGGGUGUUCCGCCUCACGGCGGAAGCCCCUAGAGACAGUGGCGGACCCGCCGCGGCUCCGAGCGCAGUAGUAAAAUAUCUCGCUAUGGAGGUCCGCGGGGGGGCUUACCGGCCGUAAAAACUUUCUUCGGAAAUUUCUCAAGGUUGACCUCGGAUCAGGUAGGAAUACCCGCUGAACUUAAGCAUAUCAAUAAGCGGAGGAAAAGAAACCAACAGGGAUUGCCCCAGUAACGGCGAGUGAAGCGGCAACAGCUCAGAUU
rnacentral:rRNA from 1 species